rnacentral:rRNA from 1 species
GACGAACGCUGGCGGCGUGCUUAACACAUGCAAGUCGAACGUAAAGAGGGAAAGAGCUUGCUCUUUCCGGAAUUGAGUGGCAAACGGGUGAGUAACACGUAAACAACCUGCCUUCAGGAUGGGGACAACAGACGGAAACGACUGCUAAUACCGAAUAAGUUCCAAGGGCCGCAUGGCCCAUGGAAGAAAAGGUGGCCUCUACCUGUAAGCUAUCGCCUGAAGAGGGGUUUGCGUCUGAUUAGCUGGUUGGAGGGGUAACGGCCCACCAAGGCGACGAUCAGUAGCCGGUCUGAGAGGAUGAACGGCCACACUGGAACUGAGACACGGUCCAGACUCCUACGGGAGGCAGCAGUGGGGAAUCUUCCGCAAUGGGCGAAAGCCUGACGGAGCAACGCCGCGUGAGUGAUGACGGCCUUCGGGUUGUAAAACUCUGUGAUCCGGGACGAAAAGGCAGAGUGCGAAGAACAAACUGCAUUGACGGUACCGGAAAAGCAAGCCACGGCUAACUACGUG